AGCAGCCGCGGUAAUUCCAGCUCCAAUAGCGUAUAUUAAAGUUGUUGCGGUUAAAAAGCUCGUAGUUGAAUUUCGGGGUUAGUAGGUUGGUCAUGCCUCUGGUAUGUACUGGUCUCACUGAUUCCUCCUUCCUGAUGAGCCGUAAUGCCAUUAAUUUGGUGUUGCGGGGAAUUUGGACUGUUACUUUGAGAAAAUUAGAGUGUUUAAAGCAAGCUAACGCUUGAAUACAUUAGCAUGGAAUAAUGAAAUAGGACGUUCGAUCCUAUUUUGUUGGUUUCUAGGAUUGACGUAAUGAUUAAUAGGGAUAGUUGGGGGCAUUAGUAUUCAAUUGUCAGAGGUGAAAUUCUUGGGUUUAUUGAAGACUAACUACUGCGAAAGCAUUUGCCAAGGAUGUUUUCAUUAAUCAAGAACGAAAGUUAGGGGAUCGAAGACGAUCAGAUACCGUCGUAGUCUUAACCAUAAACUAUGCCGACUAGGGAUCGGAUGAUGUUAAUUUUUUAAUGACUCAUUCGGCGCCUUACG
rnacentral:rRNA from 1 species